UACGAAGGGGGCUAGCGUUGCUCGGAAUCACUGGGCGUAAAGGGUGCGUAGGCGGGUCUUUAAGUCAGGGGUGAAAUCCUGGAGCUCAACUCCAGAACUGCCUUUGAUACUGAGGAUCUUGAGUAUGACAGAGGUGAGUGGAACUGCGAGUGUAAGAGGUGAAAUUCGUAGAUAUUCGCAAGAACACCAGUGGCGAAGGCGGCUCCACUGGGUCAUUACUGACGCUGGAGGCACGAAAGCGUGGGGAGCAAACAGG
rnacentral:rRNA from 1 species